rnacentral:misc_RNA from 1 species
AAGUCGUAACAAGGUAACCGUAGGUGAACCUGCGGUUGGAUCAUUAUAGAAAUGAUUUUAUUAUUGAGGGAUCAACCUUUAAACAGUUGAUCACUCUUUACCCCAAAACCAUGUGAAUUUGUAUUUAUAAAGGAAACAAUGUGUAAAAACUUUGUUUCUUUUAAUUUUAUAAACAUUUUUAAACCUUUUUUUUUAUAUUUAAAAAAUAAAAUAAAAAAAAAACAACUUUUGACAAUGGAUCUCUUGGCUCUC